rnacentral:rRNA from 1 species
UCGAGGAUAUUUAGCAAUGGACGAAAGUCUGACUAUGUGACGCCGCGUGAGGGAUGAAGGUUUUCGGAUCGUAAACCUCUUUCGAUAGGGAAGAAUAUUCCGGUUAAUCGCCGGAACUGACGGUACCUAGAGAAGAAGCCACGGCCAACUCCGUGCCAGCAGCCGCGGUAAUACGGGGGUGGCGAGCGUUACUCGGAUUUAUUGGGUGUAAAGGGCAGGUAGGCGUUCCAUUAAGUUAGAAGUGAAAUCCUAAGGCUCAACCGUAGAACUGCUUUUAAAACUGAUGGAAUUGAGGAUAGAAGAGGAGAGUGGAAUUCCCGGUGUAAGAGUGAAAUCUGUAGAUAUCGGGAGGAACACCAGUGGCGAAGGCGACUCUCUGGUCUAUAUCUGACGCUAAGCUGCGAAAGCUAGGGGAGCAAACA